rnacentral:ncRNA from 1 species
AUAAAGUUUUAUUCUUGCUUAGAAAUAUUUACUUUAAUUUUGUUUUGCAUGUAAAUUUUUGUAUGGAAAUAUUAAGAUUAUCUAGAAGGUGGUUAUUAUAGGUUUAAAUGAUGAGUUUAUAGCAGUAUUUAAUAUUAUAAAUCAGAUAAUUCUGGAUUUAGCAGUUUUAGGUAGUAUCGGCUAAAGUUGUGCCAGCCGCCGCGGUUAUACGAUGGAUGCAAGUAAAUUUUGUUGGUUAAAGUAGUUAUAUUGUUGAGGAAUUAAAUUAAGAUUAGUAUAUUUAAUGUUUUGUGGGUGAAAUUUUUACAUUGAGUUUAAGAUCUUUAUAGGGAGAUAGAGGCUGCGAGAUUCAGAUUUUAAACUAGGAUUAGAUACCCUAUUAUUUUGAAUGUAAAAUAUUUGAAUCAGAGUAGUAUGAGUUAUGGUCUUAAAACUCAAAGAAUUUGGCGGUGUUUUAGUCCUUUCAGAGGAACCUGUCCCAUAAUCGAUAUUCCACGUUGAAAUCUUACUUAGUCUUGUAGUUCAGUUUGUAUACUUCCGUCGUCAGAAUGUUCUUGUAGGAGAUAAUUUUCUUGUACUUUAGAGUAAAGGGGAUGUCAGGUCAAGGUGCAGCUUAUGGUUAAGUGGAGGUGGGUUACAAUAAGGUAACUUAUUACGGAUAAAGGAUUGAAUUUAAUCGUUUUGAAGGUGGAUUUGAUUGUAAUUUUAUUUUAUAUUAAGAUAAUUUGAUUUUGGCUCUAAAACAUGCACACAUCGCCCGUCGCUCUCGUUAAUUAAGGUGAGAUAAGUCGUAACAUAGUAGAUGUACCGGAAGGUGUAUCUGGAAAGUU